CGACAGGCGGACCUAGGUCUCGCGAGAGCAGAGAGACAUGGAGACUCGCUUGUCAGAGGAAGAGCACAUGUGCGAUAGAGGAAAGACCCUUGAGUUUAUGCAGAACCAUCGGAACUUGACUCCCGGAACUUCCUGAAGAGCCAGGAUGUCUGUACACUGAAAUGUUUGCCCCAUGUCGGGUGAUUUAAAACCGAACCAUUUCCAAAUAACAGAGGUGAACCCCCUAUCCCCUCCUUUUUUUGGAACGGGAGUCAUCAGGAUACGUCGCUAGAGUGUGUUUAAUGGAAAAUUCACACAACGCAAAUAUACCGGUUACAUACAAGGACAAGUAUUCAGAUUACAGCUGAAGCUUUGAAGAACAUAAAAUGCUUUCAUUUUUAUAUUUGAUAUUUUUUAUGCUUUAUUGUUUCAUAAGUAGGCUGUUGUAUCAUUAGGCUGUCGACAAUGGUAUAGUGCAAAUGCAUGUCGUACCGGUAAUGACUGUGGCACCGGUGCACCACACCCGCCGCCCCCCAGCUCCGAAUAAACCUAAUUCUAGUAAACAGUUGGGCACGGUGGGGUUUCAGAGAGAUUUACUCCGUCAGUCUUCUACAUUAUAGCUACAGACCUGUGGUCCCUCAGACGUCAUAAGGAAGUUCAGGAAAUAUUUAUGUUCCAUCGCUUUCCCGUUUUUACAAGGGUACAUUCCAUCUUCCUAGUUAAUGUACUUUUAUUAUUACUGUACAAAUACAAUGAGGUGUGUGCAGUAAACCAUAUUAAAGAUAUAACUACAACAAAGGUAUUAUAAAUGCAUGCAAUACACGCAACUAUUACUCCUUAUGUAAUUAUGUGUUUUGUCAUCAGUGUUCUUUAUUUUUUUAAAUCAAAUUACGAAACACACCAAAACAAAGAAAAAUAGUUACUACAUACGUCAAAAGUAACAUGUAAGAACAAUAACAGCAGCACGGAACAAUUGGGCUGUUUAAGGUUCUUAUUAUUCACCCAAAUGCUCCGCCUCAGCUUUUUGUUCCGUAUAUCAUACGUACUUAUGCUUACAGUCUUAAAGAUGCAGUAUGAUUAUUUGGCGGCGUGUUGUGUUGCCACUUUGAAACAAUGCAGAAUAAACUCAAAAAAUGUGAUCAAAAAGUUAUUUUGCUGGAUAUGGGUAUUGUACAUAUGGAGUGGUUAUAAUGUUUGAGGGUUUUUUUUAAUGAUUGAAUGAAACUUAAAAAUGCAUCAAAAUGGUUUAGCACUUAAAGAAUAUAUUCUAUUCUUGCUUAUUCAUUCAUAAUGUCCCAGCGAAAAUGCAUUAAAAUAUCAAGUUAUUCACGGAAUGCUUUUACACACGUCUUACCUUUAGCAAUGUCUAACUAUAGGAACUAUAAAGUUUUGGCAGCAGUAAGCAUACUGUUUGACUGAGUCAAACAGGGGGCAGUGGUUGUCCGAGACAAGACUGAGUCCAACGGGGGCGGCGGCCGUCCAAGUCAAGACUGAGUCCAUCGCUGGGUAGCUGGGUAGCUGAGUUUAAUUAUCUUUAACAAAAACACGUGUCAUGAUUAUUGGCAGCCCUGCUUUUAAUACUCUGUACUACCUCCCUUUGCCAGUAUAACAGCACUCUCCUAUAGUCUCCUAUAACAUUUUAUAUGGUUGGAGAAUACCAAGCAGGGCAUCUGAGUCCAUUCCUCUUUACAGAAUCUCUCCAGAUCAUUCAGGGUCCUCGGCUCUCUCUUGUACACUCUUCUCUUCAGCUCAACCCACAGGUUUUCAGUGGGGUUCAGGUCAGGUGACUGAAAUGGCCAUGGCAGAAGCUUAAUUCUGUGAUCAGCUAACCAUUUUAGUGUUGAUUUGGACAUGUGCUUAGGAUCACUGUCCAGCUGGAAGAUCCAAUGACGGCCCAAUUUUUGUUUCCUGGCAGAGGCAGGCAAAUUUUGAUUUAAAAUGUCCUGGUAUUUCAUGGACUCCAUAGUACCAUGUACCCUAACUGGGUUCCCAGAGCUUUUGGAGGAAAAACAGCCCCAGAACAUCACAGAACCUCCACCAUAUUUCGCAUUUGGGAUGACGUUCAUUUCAUUAUAACUAUACUACUGAUUUUUUGAAGUGCAAUAACUUAUUCCAAACUACCACUUAUGUCAAUAGAUAGAUAUUAUACCAAGCAUUUCUGUAUGUAGCAUAGUUUAUUCAUAUUGUGGUUGUUUUCUUUCUACAGAUUUCUAUUUAGAUUUUACUACUUUUAUUUUAUGAUGUUCUUGUCUCUGUGUUGUGUGUUAUGGUAGUCAUCGCAUAAGCAGUUUCCUCCAGGAUCAAUAAAGUUUUCUGAUUCUGA